GGUUCCUUCCAUUUUGGGCGACGGAGCAAAGAUGUUCUACAUCAGUGGAGGAGAGAAAGUCGAGUGACUGUGGUCUGAUUUCAUUUUAGCUGCGGGUGACAGGCGCGACUCGCAGGAGAUCUAUCAAAUAAAAAAAAGAGCCAGAGGACCAAAAGAAGCAACAUGGGAAAGAAGUCUGCAUCUUUGUUCUGAUGAACCCUCGUAAACAGGAUGAAACCGCUCAGCAACUUCAUCACGUGUCUCUACCCUGCUUGAUUAACUGAUGAAUUAGCCUGUGCAGUCAGAUCAUCUUUAAACAUGUCUGACAACAUAAAUCCACAAACCUUGUCAGAGGCAGAGACACAGUUGACAGUGGAGCAAGGUGACAAGCACAUUGGGCAGAGUAAUCUUCUUCAAUCACCUACGAAACAGACAUUCAAGUCAGCUGCGAAUGGCACUACUGCCGUUAUACCAGACUCAGGGGACAAGUUCUCCAGCUCCUCUCAUCAGUCCGUUUCAGAGAAAGGAACAAAGAUCGCUGGUCAAAAGGCUAAAAAAACUAAAAGAAAGAGAAAUAUGGCAACCUUGGACAAGAAUGCUGAAGACCAGAUUGUGAACCAGAAUAGGCAACUCGACCUAAAAGACCAGGACUCUGCGCAAACUACUGCUGUCGUUGAGGAUAUCUGUUUUGGUUCUCAAAAGCCCGAGACCAUAGGUUCCAGUGUUGACCCACCGGAAGUGGAGCCUAUGGAGUUUGAGCAGUCUGCCUCCUUUUCACCAACAAGUCCAGAUUUGAAGAUGGAACCAAAGGACAACAC